UAGGAUUCCGUCAGUAAC
rnacentral:misc_RNA from 1 species